AGAGUUUGAUCCUGGCUCAGGACGAACGCUGGCGGCGUGCCUAAUACAUGCAAGUAGAACGCUGAAGAGAGGAGCUUGCUCUUCUUGGAUGAGUUGCGAACGGGUGAGUAACGCGUAGGUAACCUGCCUUGUAGCGGGGGAUAACUAUUGGAAACGAUAGCUAAUACCGCAUAACAAUGGAUGACACAUGUCAUUUAUUUGAAAGGGGCAAUUGCUCCACUACAAGAUGGACCUGCGUUGUAUUAGCUAGUAGGUGAGGUAACGGCUCACCUAGGCGACGAUACAUAGCCGACCUGAGAGGGUGAUCGGCCACACUGGGACUGAGACACGGCCCAGACUCCUACGGGAGGCAGCAGUAGGGAAUCUUCGGCAAUGGGGGCAACCCUGACCGAGCAACGCCGCGUGAGUGAAGAAGGUUUUCGGAUCGUAAAGCUCUGUUGUAAGUCAAGAACGGGUGUGAGAGUGGAAAGUUCACACUGUGACGGUAGCUUACCAGAAAGGGACGGCUAACUACGUGCCAGCAGCCGCGGUAAUACGUAGGUCCCGAGCGUUGUCCGGAUUUAUUGGGCGUAAAGCGAGCGCAGGCGGUUUGAUAAGUCUGAAGUUAAAGGCUGUGGCUCAACCAUAGUUCGCUUUGGAAACUGUCAAACUUGAGUGCAGAAGGGGAGAGUGGAAUUCCAUGUGUAGCGGUGAAAUGCGUAGAUAUAUGGAGGAACACCGGUGGCGAAAGCGGCUCUCUGGUCUGUAACUGACGCUGAGGCUCGAAAGCGUGGGGAGCGAACAGGAUUAGAUACCCUGGUAGUCCACGCCGUAAACGAUGAGUGCUAGGUGUUGGAUCCUUUCCGGGAUUCAGUGCCGCAGCUAACGCAUUAAGCACUCCGCCUGGGGAGUACGACCGCAAGGUUGAAACUCAAAGGAAUUGACGGGGGCCCGCAC
rnacentral:rRNA from 1 species